rnacentral:rRNA from 1 species
CGUGUAGGCGGGAAGGUAAGUCGGGCGUGAAAUCCCUGGGCUCAACCCAGGAACUGCACUCGAAACUACUUUUCUUGAGUGCCGGAGAGGAAAGCGGAAUUCCUGGUGUAGAGGUGAAAUUCGUAGAUAUCAGGAGGAACACCAGUGGCGAAGGCGGCUUUCUGGACGGUAACUGACGCUGAGACGCGAAAGCGUGGGGAGGCAAAACA